CCCUACGGGGCGCAGCAGGCGCGAAAACUUUACAAUGCCGGCAACGGCGAUAAGGGGACCUCGAGUGCCAGGUUACAAAUCUGGCUGUCGUGAUGCCUAAAAAGCAUUGCAUAGCAAGGGCCGGGCAAGACCGGUGCCAGCCGCCGCGGUAACACCGGCGGCUCGAGUGGUAACCGUUAUUAUUGGGUCUAAAGGGUCUGUAGCCGGCCGGAUAAGUCUCUUGGGAAAUCCAGCAGCUCAACUGUUGGGCUUUCAGGAGAUACUGUCUGGCUCGAGGCCGGGAGAGGUGAGAGGUACUUCAGGGGUAGGGGUGAAAUCCUGUAAUCC
rnacentral:rRNA from 1 species